CCUACGGGUGGCUGCAGUGGGGAAUAUUGCACAAUGGGGGAAACCCUGAUGCAGCGACGCCGCGUGAAGGACGAAGUAUUUCGGUAUGUAAACUUCUAUCAGCAGGGAAGAAAAUGACGGUACCUGAGCAAGAAGCCCCGGCUAACUACGUGCCAGCAGCCGCGGUAAUACGUAGGGGGCAAGCGUUAUCCGGAUUUACUGGGUGUAAAGGGAGCGUAGACGGCCGUGCAAGUCUGAUGUGAAAACCCGGGGCUCAACCCCGGGACUGCAUUGGAAACUGUGCGGCUGGAGUGUCGGAGAGGCAAGUGGAAUUCCUAGUGUAGCGGUGAAAUGCGUAGAUAUUAGGAGGAACACCAGUGGCGAAGGCGGCUUGCUGGACGACGACUGACGUUGAGGCUCGAAAGCGUGGGGAGCAAACAGGAUUAGAUACCCGGGUAGUC
rnacentral:rRNA from 1 species